GUUCAGUCUGCCUUACCUGACUGUCCUGGCCAUACAAAUGUGAAGGACAAGCACUUAAAUGAAACUGAUACUGUUCAAAGUGGAUAGUGCAUUGACCUGCCUUACAAAUGCAAGCAAAUCCUGGCUAAUGGUUCCAACUGGUAGCAGUGGCAUGCUCUGCCCUGCCACAGCAGGGCAGCUGUGUAGCAGUUUCUCCAGAGCUUGGUUUCCCCCGUGGGGUGACCUCUUUCCUAUCUCACUGAGAUAAAUUCUCCAGGAUUCUUGACCUGAUCUGAUGGAGGUGGCAACCAGGCUGCAGUUUUUAAAUCAGUAGUCUCCACACGAGCACACCGUCUAGCACAUAUUGUGCCUUUAAAAAUGAAAUAAACCACACCCCUGAAAUCCA
rnacentral:lncRNA from 1 species